CUCUCUUUCUGUCUUGUAGAUUCUGUAGUGGAUCAGUAUGAGAAUAUGCCAGAAUCUGAGCGGCAUUCGCCUGGUGACUAUGUCAAUGUAUUAGAACCAGAGGCCACCAUCUUAGAUCCUUGUUUUGAUGUUCUCCUGUUGCAAUCUGACGCUUCCCAUCUUCCUGAAAGGGGCAGCAGUGAUCAAGAGAGUGAAGAGGACACGCCAGACUAUGAGAACGUCUGCUCUGGAGUUUGAGGCUGAGUCAUUUCAAGGCAGCAAUCCUCGGGAGCUCUAAAUAUCGAUGCGCAAGGUGGAUCUCCAUUGAGCUUGGCAACCUGAGGAUUCCUAUUCCCCAGUCUUCCUCCUAGAUGUCAACAUAACUUAUUGCCUUCCUUUGCACUUUGUCUGACAUGUCCUGAGAACUUCCCAUUGUCUUUGGUAGCAAGAUUCAUAAACUUGAUGGUCCAGGUGUAUCUGGUCAUCUCCUCUCCUCCGCCCCUUUUCUCUCAAGCAAUCUGUUGUUGGCUACAUAAAAAUCAGGAGUUCCA